rnacentral:lncRNA from 9 species
GCUGAUUUUUUACAUUUGGGGAAAUUAUAGACUUCAAGUCCUUUCUUGUUGAAAUGGAUCAUGACUCAAGAACAUGUCAUACUGAGCCCUGAGGACUAAGCUGCCUCCCCAAGGAAUAGGCCGUGGCUCAAAGUCAGGUCAUGAAUAACUGGACAAGUUAUUUUAUUUGAAUAACUAGACAGGUAAUAACUGACUUGUCCAGUUAUUCAACAGAGGUGACAGGCACCAUCUUUUCAAAGGCAAAAAACCAGGUGAUUAAACUACCAAGAAGGGGCACAACUGGCCCCCCUCUUGGGAAGAUCUGUGCACACUCACGUGUGCUGUGUAACGGCACGAACUCUCAGAGCAGAGCUUGGGCACCCACAGGCAGGAGGGGGCCCCCAAGAACCACCUGGGCUGCAGGAAAUGGGAGGAAGUCUAGCUACCCAGCCAGGGGAGCCGGUGCCAUGAAGCAUUAAGUGUCAACAUGUGUGUCGAUUGAUCAUCUGGUUGAGCGUGUACAGGCUGCCAGCACCCACUCUCUCCGCCAAAGCAAUGCUUUUCAAAGUUAACAGCUUCUGACAUCAGCCACACAAGUGCUGGAUCACUUUCUGGAUGUAAAGAUGCUCAAGGAGAACCCAAGGUGACGCUAACAGCAGCUGUCAACCCACAGAGAGCAGAGGCCAUGGUUGGACGGCCAAGUGCCUGCAGCAGGCAGGCCCUGAAGAUCAGAGCAGACCAGGCAGACCUUCUCCACCCUGACGUUUUAAGGGGCAAAACUCUGGAGCCAAACUAGCUCCAAAAGACCACGGGAUUUUAGUGGGUCGUCUCAAGUGGCUCAGAUUGACCCAAGGGGAGAAUUUGGCCACCCAUUAGAAUCACUUGAAGAGAAAAGAGGAGAAAAGAAAAGAAAGAAGAUGUGAGACACACACUAUGGAAUACUCUUCAGACAUAAGAAAGAAAGUGGAGUUCCCGUCGUGGUUCAGUGGUAAUGAACCUGACCAGUACCCUUGAGGAGGAGGGUUCGAUCCUUGGCCUCAUUCAGUGGGUUAAGGAUCUGAUGUUGCCAAGAGCUGUGGUGUAGGUGGCAGACGAAGCUCGGAUCCCGAGUUGCUGUGGCUGUGGGUAGGUCGGCACCCGUAGCUCCAAUUAGACCCCUAGCCUGGGAACCUCCAUAUGCCGCAGGUGCAGCCCUAAAAAGCAAUAACAUUAAUAACAUUAAUAAUAAUGAUAAUAAUAAUAAUGAAUUCUUAGAAUCUAAUGUACAGCACAGUGAUUAUAGCUAAUAAUUCUAUAUUAUACACAUGAAUGCUGCCAGGACAGUGGGUCUAACAUGUUCCCAACACAAAAAAGAAAUAGUAAUUAUGAGACUGGACGGAGGUGGUAGCUAAUGCUAUGGUGGUAAUCAUUUUGCAAUAUAUAAAUGUAUCAAACAA